rnacentral:rRNA from 1 species
UGGGGAAUCUUGCGCAAUGCGCGAAAGCGUGACGCAGCAACGCCGCGUGCGGGAAGACGGCCUUCGGGUUGUAAACCGCUUUCAGUUGGGACGAAGCUUCGCCGGUGAAUAGCCGGCCGGAGUGACGGUACCUUCACAAGAAGCCCCGGCUAACUACGUGCCAGCAGCCGCGGUAAUACGUAGGGGGCAAGCGUUGUCCGGAAUCAUUGGGCGUAAAGCGCGUGUAGGCGGCUUCGUCAGUCCGUUGUGAAAGUCCAGGGCUCAACCCUGGAAUGCCGAUGGAUACUGCGGAGCUCGAGUCCGGAAGAGGCAAGUGGAAUUCCUGGUGUAGCGGUGAAAUGCGCAGAUAUCAGGAGGAACACCAAUGGCGAAGGCAGCUUGCUGGGACGGUACUGACGCU